rnacentral:lncRNA from 1 species
CAAGUUUUAGAGGGAUAAAUGAAACACAUCUUUACACUCCUGCUUUCAGUUCUCCAGGGAGAAUAUAUGGCAUGAAGCUGAAAAAGCCUUCUCCCUUUCCUUCUCAAAACAGCCAGUACAGCCAGUCCCUGGCAUCUCAUACCUGCAACUCCAGCACUUUGGAGACCGAAGCAGAAAGUUUGCCAUACGUUUUGUUUCCAGGGUUCACAUAGCAAGUUCAGGGCUAUAAGUGAAGGAACAGUGAAAACACCAAACUAGGUUACUUCAUUGGUAGAACGGUUUAUUGGGGAAUCAAACUGACAAGUCGAUCUCAGGGGAGGGGGAGGGCGACUGAGGGAAGCAAAAUGGUGGGAAAGCAAGCAGGUUUUACUUGACAGUCAGUUGGGUGGGAUUCUUUUGAGUUGAUCGAGGCUUUUAGGUUUAACUAGGAGACCUUGUUCUAGAUAGUUGACCUUUGGGGGCAAAUUACAGGAGGCUUCUGAUAAGCAGAAAGUAGCCUUAGGAGAUUACCGAAGAAUGUAGAAUUUAGGCUACUGUUUACCUAGUCAUAGUUCUUUGGUUUAAGAUGUUGGCACCAGCUCUGCCAUUAUGGGGCCUACUUUGGAUUUAACAAGAGCCAGCCAGGGCUAUGGAGUAAUAUCUAUCUGAAAAGUCAAAAGACAGGGAGCUAGAUGUAGCUCAGUCAGGAGAAUACUUGCCUAGCAGACAGGAGAUGAGGUGCUGGACUCCGUCUUAGCAUGUCUAAGACUGACUAUAAUUAUAUAGCCUAGUAAUCCUGGCACUUAGGAGGUAGAGGCAGAAGGAUCUCAAGUUCAAAGUCAUGCAGAUAUAUAAGAGUCGGUCUUAUAAAAGAAAAAAUGAGGAGGGGGGAACUGGUGAUGUGGUUCUUAACUAUCAUGUACAAUGCUGUGAUAUCCACUCCUAGGAAAGCAAUGGAUAAAAGAAACUAAGUAUGGAGUCAAGAGGCAUGGCUCAGUGGUUAAGAGUAUAUAGUGAUUUUGCAGAAGACCUGUGUUCUGUUUCUGGCACCCACAUAGAGUACAAAUGUAUACACAUGUGUGCCAAACAUCCAUGCACAUCAAUAAAAUAAUUAUAACAAUAUAUUUUUUUAAGCCACAGAAACCAGGUAUAUAAAUAUCAUUUAGCCAGGCAUAGUGGCAGCUACAUAGUGAGAGCCUAUCUAGAAAGAAGGGGAGAGAGAGAGAGAGAGAGAGAGAGAGAGAGAGAGAGAGAGAGAGAGAGAGAUCAUUUAGGACUCACAUGGUGGUCCAUACCUAUAAUCCCAGAACUCAGAGGUUCAUUCUAUGUUUGAAAAAUCAAAAGGUGGCUUUCUGAUUACUCCUCUUCACUGUGUUAAUAGGUUUCUGACACUUGGGAAAAGACCUUAGACUCAAUCCAACUAUAAUUAUAAGAUUUAUUGAUUAGCUCCAGGCAGGACACCAACCUUAAAGCCAAAUCUCAAUGCACGCCAUAAGGGAGGGGUAGCAGAAGAUAUUUUUACAGGCAAAAACCAUAGGGAUGCCUUCAAUAUUGACAGAAGCAAGCAAAAGCCAAGUUAACUGGUAAAGGCAACUCAAGAUAAUCUUUGAGUAUCUGCAUACACGAGUUACAGAAGGCAACAAAUUAGCCAUAUCAGAACAAGUAGAUAGCUACAGCUGGACAUUUUUUGGGUGAGGUCACUGAGACAAAGUUACUAGGAACUUAUCUUCCAGGGACUAAAGUCAGAGACAAGCAGCUAGUGGGCACCACAACGGAUGCCUAGCAUAAGAUGGAGUUUCUUUAGCCAGCACAGCUAUUGUGUGGAGCUGUACCCAUAUAUCCAUCUGCUUUUCAUCAUCAAUGAAGUUUGGAUAAGAACUACUCAUUCAUUCAUUCAUUCAUUCAUUCAUUUUCUCUCUCUCUCUCUCUCUCUCUCUCUCUUCUGUGUGUGUGUGUAUGUGUGUGUGUGUGUGAUUUUUCCAAAGUCACUUUGUACAUGUGAAGAUCAGAGGAUAAUCUGCCAGCGUCCGUUCUCUCCUUCCCCCCACAUCGGUUCUGGAGGUUAAACUCAAGUUCACUUGUCAGAAAAGGCUCUACCCACUGAACCGUCUCACUGAAUAGCUCUACACAAGCUAUUCAAUGCUUUAAUGUAAAAUAGGCUUUAUGUUAGAUGGUUUGUGAAAUAGUAAACUGAGGGAGAAAAUGCUGUUCGAGUAGAAGAAAUGAAGCCCACGCCUUCUGAUUUUUGCUGAGUGACUUGCUGCCUUUGGAAACCCGAACAUGAGCAUCUCUUAAGCAACCUGAAAAUUACAGAAACAAAUUAAACAUCAAUGAACCAAACGUUAUAUGACCUAGAUUUUUCUGGAACAAUCUUUUUUUUUUUUUUUUUUUUUUUU